rnacentral:tRNA from 1 species
GCGGCCGUAAUUCAGUGGUAGAAUGCCAGCUUCCCAAGCUGGACGUCGUGAGUUCGAAUCUCAUCGGCCGCU